rnacentral:rRNA from 1 species
UACGUAGGGGGCAAGCGUUGUCCGGAAUCCUUGGGCGUAAAGGGCGCGUAGGCGGCGCGGUCAGUCACCUGUGAAAUCUCCUGGCUCAACCUCGAGCUGUCGGUGGAAACCGUGAAGCUAGAGUCCGGAAGAGGAGAGUGGAAUUCCCGGUGUAGCGGUGAAAUGCGCAGAUAUCGGGAAGAACACCCGUGGCGAAGGCGGCUCUCUGGGACGGUACUGACGCUGAGACGCGAAAGCGUGGGGAGCGAACAGG